GAUGAACGCUGGCGGCGUGCCUAAUACAUGCAAGUCGAGCGAACGGACGAGAAGCUUGCUUCUCUGAUGUUAGCGGCGGAUGGGUGAGUAACACGUGGAUAACCUACCUAUAAGACUGGGAUAACUUCGGGAAACCGGAGCUAAUACCGGAUAAUAUUUUGAACCGCAUGGUUCAAAAGUGAAAGACGGUCUUGCUGUCACUUAUAGAUGGAUCCGCGCUGCAUUAGCUAGUCGGUAAGGUAACGGCUUACCAAGGCAACGAUGCAUAGCCGACCUGAGAGGGUGAUCGGCCACACUGGAACUGAGACACGGUCCAGACUCCUACGGGAGGCAGCAGUAGGGAAUCUUCCGCAAUGGGCGAAAGCCUGACGGAGCAACGCCGCGUGAGUGAUGAAGGUCUUCGGAUCGUAAAACUCUGUUAUUAGGGAAGAACAUAUGUGUAAGUAACUGUGCACAUCUUGACGGUACCUAAUCAGAAAGCCACGGCUAACUACGUG
rnacentral:rRNA from 1 species